rnacentral:rRNA from 1 species
CCUACGGGUGGCUGCAGUAAGGAAUAUUGGUCAAUGGACGCAAGUCUGAACCAGCCAUGCCGCGUGAAGGAUGAAGGCCCUCUGGGUUGUAAACUUCUUUUAUCUGGGAAGAAAUCCACUGUUUUCACGGUGGUUGACGGUACCAGAGGAAUAAGCACCGGCUAACUCCGUGCCAGCAGCCGCGGUAAUACGGAGGGUGCAAGCGUUAUCGGGAUUUACGGGGUUUUAGGCGUGCGUAGGCGGCAUUUUAGAAAUCUCCGGGCUUAACUCGGAAAUUGCCGUUGAUACUAUUAGUCUUGAAUUAAGUUGAGGUGGGCGGAAUAUGUCAUGUAGCGGUGAAAUGCUUAGAUAUGACAUAGAACACCGAUUGCGAAGGCAGCUCGCUAAACUUAUAUUGACGCUGAGGCACGAAAGCGUGGGGAUCAAACAGGAUUAGAUACCCUUGUAGUC